rnacentral:rRNA from 1 species
GGUAACGGAUGGGGAUGCGUUCCAUUAGCUAGACGGCGGGGUAACGGCCCACCGUGCCGACGAUCGGUAGGGGUUCUGAGAGGAAGGUCCCCCACACUGGAACUGAGACACGGUCCAGACUCCUACGGGAGGCAGCAGUGAGGAAUAUUGGUCAAUGGGCGCAAGCCUGAACCAGCCAAGUAGCGUGAGGGAAGACUGCCCUAUGGGUUGUAAACCUCUUUUGUGCGGGGAUAAAGUGUGGGACGUGUCCCAUUUUGCAGGUACCGCACGAAUAAGGACCGGCUAAUUCCGUGCCAGCAGCCGCGGUAAUACGGAAGGUCCGGGCGUUAUCCGGAUUUAUUGGGUUUAAAGGGAGCGCAGGCGGUCCUUUAAGCGUGCUGUGAAAUGUCCGCGGCUUAACCGUGGCACUGCAGCGCGAACUGGAGGCCUUGAGUACGCACGAGGCAGGCGGAAUUCGUGGUGUAGCGGUGAAAUGCUUAGAUAUCACGAAGGGGUCCGAUUG